rnacentral:SRP_RNA from 2 species
GCUGGGCAUGGUGGCGCAUGCCUGUAAUCUCAGCUACUCAGGAGGCUGAGGCAGGAGAAUCACUUGAACCCAGGAGAUGAAGGUUGCAGUGGGCUGAGAUCAUGCCACUGCACGCUAGCCUGGGCGACAGAGUGACACUCUGUCUCAA